rnacentral:rRNA from 1 species
AAUCAACGCUGGCGGCGUGCCUAACACAUGCAAGUCGAACGAGAAAGUGGAGCAAUCCAUGAGUACAGUGGCGACCGGGUGAGUAACACGUGACUAACCUACCCUCAAGUGGGGAAUAACUCCGGGAAACCGGGGCUAAUACCGCAUAACAUCUUCGGGGCGAAAGCCCUGAAGAUCAAAGCAGCAAUGCGCUGGAGGAGGGGGUCGCGGCUGAUCAGCUAGUUGGCGGGGUAACGGCCCACCAAGGCGAGGAUCGGUAGCCGGCCGGAGAGGGAGCGCGACCACACUGGAACUGAAGCACGGUUGAGGCUCCUACGGGAGGCAGCAGUGGGGAUUUUUGCGCAAUGGGGGGAGCCCUGACGCAUCAACGCCGCGUGGAGGAUGAAGCCCUGUGGGGCGUAAACUCCUUUCGACCCGGACGAUUAUGACGGUACGGGUGGAAGAAGCACCGGAUAACUCUGUGCCAGCCGCCGCAGUAAGAC